CCUACGGGUGGCUGCAGUGAGGAAUAUUGGUCAAUGGACGAGAGUCUGAACCAGCCAAGCCGCGUGAAGGAAGACUGCCCUAUGGGUUGUAAACUUCUUUUGUAUGGGAGUAAAAUGUUCCACGUGUGGGCUUUUGUAUGUACCAUAUGAAUAAGGAUCGGCUAACUCCGUGCCAGCAGCCGCGGUAAUACGGAGGGUCCGAGCGUUAUCCGGAUUGAUUGGGUGUAAAGGGAGCGUAGGUGGAUUGUUAAGUCAGUUGUGAAAGUUCGGGGCUCAACCGUAAAAUUGCAGUUGAAACUGGCAGUCUUGAGUACAGUAGAGGUGGGCAGAAUUCGUGGUGUAGCGGUGAAAUGCUUAGAGAUCACGAAGAACACCGAUUGCGAAGGCAGUUCACUGGACUACAACUGACACUGAGGCGCGAAAGUGUGGGUAGCAAACAGGAUUAGAUACCCCUGUAGUC
rnacentral:rRNA from 1 species